CACAACUAUAACAUUAUAUCAAAUCCACACCUUAUUAUUCAAAAUAACAUUUAUAGAAAAUUAAAUCUUUAUUCAUCAAAGUUAGGGUCUUACAACCUCCCCUUCUUAUGAAAUUUCAUCCUCAAAAUUAGUGUACGUACCUGGUAUGAUGAAGAGGUAAGGAUACCUCGUUUUCAUUUUAGAUUCUAACUCCUAGGUCAUUUCCUCAAUAUAGUGGUUUCUCCACAAAACUUUGACUUGAGGUAUAACCUUUGAGUGUAGAAUAUGUUCCUUCUUAUCUAAGAUUUUAACAGGUACCUCUUCAUACGUUAAAUAUUCCGCUAUCUCGUCUGGUUCUAACUCAAUAAUGUGGUUUGGGUCUUCCACAUAUUUAUGUAACAUAGAUAUGUGAAAAAUGUUAUGAACACGAGACAUACUUGGCAGUAAGGGAAGUCUACAGGCCACAGUUCCUACUCGAUCGAGGAUUUUAAAUGGACCAAUGAAUCGAGGGUUAAGCUUUCCUCUCUUUUCAAAUCUUGUAACUCCUUUCCAUGGAGUAACACAUAAU
rnacentral:lncRNA from 1 species